GCAUGUGUGAUGUGAACAAAAGAGUAUGAGAAGCUGUGAUGCUGUAAACGCUUUCUGAUGUG
rnacentral:snoRNA from 1 species